rnacentral:rRNA from 1 species
UACGGAGGGUGCAAGCGUUAUCCGGAUUCACUGGGUUUAAAGGGUGCGUAGGAGGGCAGGGAAGUCAGUGGUGAAAUCUCCGGGCUUAACUCGGAACUGCCGUUGAUACUCUCUGUCUUGAAUCCCGUGGAGGUGAGCGGAAUAUGUCAUGUAGCGGUGAAAUGCUUAGAUAUGACAUAGAACACCAAUUGCGAAGGCAGCUCGCUACACGAAGAUUGACUCGUGAGCACGAAGCGUGGGACAAACAGAAUUAGAA